rnacentral:rRNA from 1 species
AAUGAACGCUGGCGGCAUGCCUAACACAUGCAAGUCGAACGAAGGCUUCGGCCUUAGUGGCGCACGGGUGCGUAACGCGUGGGAAUCUGCCCUUGGGUUCGGAAUAACAGAUAGAAAUGACUGCUAAUACCGGAUGAUGUCGUACGACCAAAGAUUUAUCGCCAAAGGAUGAGCCCGCGUAGGAUUAGCUGGUUGGUGGGGUAAAGGCCUACCAAGGCGGGGAUCCUUAGCUGGUCGGAGAGGAUGAUCAACCACACUGGAACUGAGACACGGCCCAGUCCCGGAGGGGAGGCAGCAGUAGGGAGUAUUGUAGACGGAACGAAGGCCUAGCCCAGCAGCGCGGCGUGAGAGAGGAAGCCCUUAGGAUUGUAAAUCCCUUUUACCCGGAGUGUUAAUGACGGUACUGGGUAAAGAAGCACCGGCUAACUACGUG